rnacentral:rRNA from 1 species
UACGGAGGGUGCAAGCAUUAAUCGGAAUUACUGGGCGUAAAGCGCGCGUAGGCGGCUAGAUAAGUCGGAUAUGAAAGCCCCGGGCUCAACCUGGGAACUGCAUACGAUACUGUCUGGCUAGAGUAUGAGAGAGGGAGGUAGAAUUCCACGUGUAGCGAUGAAAUGCGUAGAUAUAUAGAGGAAUACCGGUGGCGAAGGCGACCUCCUGGCUUAAUACUGACGCUGAGGUGCGAAAGCGUGGGGAGCAAACAGG